rnacentral:rRNA from 1 species
GCACAAGCGGUGGAUGAUGUGGUUUAAUUCGAUGCAACGCGAAAAACCUUACCCACCUUUGACAUGUACGGAAUCCUUUAGAGAUAGAGGAGUGCUCGAAAGAGAACCGUAACACAGGUGCUGCAUGGCUGUCGUCAGCUCGUGUCGUGAGAUGUUGGGUUAAGUCCCGCAACGAGCGCAACCCUUGUCAUUAGUUGCUUCAUUUAGUUGGGCACUCUAAUGAGACUGCCGGUGACAAACCGGAGGAAGGUGGGGAUGACGUCAAGUCCUCAUGGCCCUUAUAGGAGGGGCUACACACGUCAUACAAUGGCUGGUACAGAGGGUUGCCAACCCGCGAGGGGGAGCCAAUCCCAUAAAGCCAGUCGUAGUCCGGAUCGCAGUCUGCAACUCGACUGCGUGAAGUCGGAAUCGCUAGUAAUCGCGGAUCAGAAUGUCGCGGUGAAUACGUUCCCGGGCCUUGUACACACCG